GGGAGAGGAGCCCCAGCCCCGGGAUUCCCAGGUGUUUCCUUUUGGUGAUCAGCACUGAACACAGACCACCAACCAUGGAGUUCGGGCUGAGCUGGGUUUUCCUUGUUGCUAUUUUAAAAGGUGUCCAGUGUGAGGUGCAGCUGGUGGAGUCUGGGGGAGGCUUGGUACAGCCUGGGGGGUCCCUGAGACUCUCCUGUGCAGCCUCCGGAUUCACCUCGGGUAACUCUGACUUGAUCUGGAUCCGCCAGGCUCCAGGGAAGGGUCUGGAGUGGGUCUCAUACAUUAGUAGUGGUGGUAGCAUAUACUACUCAGACUCUGUCAAGGGCCGAUUCACCAUCUCCAGAGACAACGCCAAGAACACGCUGUAUCUGCAAAUGAGCAGCCUGAGAGUGGAGGACACGGCUGUGUAUUACUGUGCAAAAGACACAGUGAGGAGAAGUCACUGAGCCCAGACACAAACCUCCCUGCAGGAACGCUGGGGAGAAAUCAGCUGCAGGGGGCGCUCAGGAGCCACUGAUCAGAGUCAGCCCCAGAGGCAGACUCAUCUGCGAAUGCAGUUGGCUGUUAAUAGUGAAGGGGAUAAACUUAUUUUAUUAAAAUGGGAUGAGGAUGUGGAAUUAACCCUGUUCAAACUGUCAGUCAUCUGCUUCAGAAAACCUGUGCAUGCCACAGCUGUGUAUAUCAGUGCACUCUUGGCCUGGCGAAGCCCUCACAGACCCUCUUCCUCACCUGUGCUGUCUCUGAAUUUCCCAUCACAACCAGUGCUUCCUGCUGGAGUGGGAUCCAUCAGCUCCUCAGGGAAGGGACUGGAGCGAAUCAGGUGCACAGGUCAUGAGGGGAGUGCACAAUCCAACCCACUCCUCAAAGUCCAGUCACCAUCUCCAGAUCCAUAUCCAAAUAAACAGUUUCUCCUACAGCUGAGCUACCUGAACAACGAGUCCACAACCAUGAUUUUUAUAGAAAAGUCACAGCGAGGGAAAGACGUUGCGAGCCCAGACACAAACCUCCCUGCCGGGAAGCUCAGGAGCAGCACGAGGCGCUGA